rnacentral:rRNA from 1 species
GAUGAACGCUAGCUACAGGCUUAACACAUGCAAGUCGCGGGGCAGCAUGAAUUUAGCUUGCUAAAUUUGAUGGCGACCGGCGCACGGGUGAGUAACGCGUAUCCAACCUUCCCCUGUCCACGGGAUAGCCCGUCGAAAGGCGGAUUAAUACCGUAUGAGGUCACACGAUGGCAUCAGACUGGUGACGAAAGGUUUGGCGGACAGGGAUGGGGAUGCGUCCGAUUAGGUAGUCGGCGGGGUAACGGCCCACCGAGCCGACGAUCGGUAGGGGUUCUGAGAGGAAGGUCCCCCACAUUGGAACUGAGACACGGUCCAAACUCCUACGGGAGGCAGCAGUGAGGAAUAUUGGUCAAUGGGCGAGAGCCUGAACCAGCCAAGUAGCGUGCAGGAUGACGGCCCUAUGGGUUGUAAACUGCUUUUAUAGGGGAAUAAAGUGAGCCACGUGUGGUUUUUUGCAUGUACCCUAUGAAUAAGGACCGGCUAAUUCCGUG